rnacentral:rRNA from 1 species
GACGAGGGAUCCUAGCGUUGUUCGGAAUCAUUGGGCGUAAAGCGUGUGUAGGCGGCCUUAUAAGUCAGUUGUGAAAGCCCCGGGCUCAACCCGGGAAGUGGCUUCUGGAUACUGCAAGGCUUGAGUAGCUGGAGAGGUGAGUAGAAUUCCAGGUGUAGUGGUGAAAUACGUAGAUAUCUGGAGGAAUACCGGUGGCGAAGGCGGCUGCACUGGCCAUGUACUGACGCUGAGACACGAAAGCGUGGGGAUCAAACAGGAUUAGAAACCCCGGUGAGC